GAGACGUCCGUUGUCCUGCUUCAGUGGUACCAGCCCAUGAACAAAUUCCUGCUCGUCCGGCAGGUGCUGUUCCCACUGCCGACGCCUCUGUCCGUGUUCGCGCUGCUGACCGGGCCAGGCUCUGAGCUGCCCACUGUGUGCAUCGGCGUGAGCCCCGGGCGGCCGGGGAAGUCGGUGCUCUUCCACACGGUGCGCUUUGGCGCGCUCUCUUGCUGGCUGGGCGAGAUGAGCACCGAGCACAAGGGACCAGUGCAGGUGACCCAGGUAGAGGAGGAUAUGGUGAUGGUGUUGAUGGACGGCUCUGUGAAGCUGGUGACCCCGGAGGGGUCCCCAGUCCGGGGACUUCGCACACCUGAGAUCCCCAUGACCGAAGCGGUGGAGGCCGUGGGUCUGUGCAGGGACGGGAGAGCCCAGGAUCAGGGGUGGAGACUCAAGUGAUCCCCAAGGGUAACGGGCAUUGCUUUCUCCCCAGCUAUGGUUGGAGGUCAGCUUCAGGCCUUCUGGAAGCAUGGAGUGCAGGUGUGGGCUCUAGGCUCGGAUCAGCUGCUACAGGAGCUGAGAGACCCUAGCCUCACUUUCCGUCUGCUUGGCUCCCCCAGGUAUGUUGUGG
rnacentral:sRNA from 1 species